UAAACCUUUAAUUAAGUCCAGAGAGACUCAGAAGGUAAGAUAUUUUGUUGAAUAAUAUAGAAUGGUUCUAUAUGCUUAUUGUAAUGCAGCUUCUUGCCGACUGGUAAGAAGCUUUUUUAGA
rfam:[Clostridium] straminisolvens JCM 21531 DNA, contig: contig00032.